rnacentral:rRNA from 1 species
UCUGAGCCGUAACUGACGCUGAGGAGCGAAAAGCGUGGGGAGCGAACAGGAUUAGAUACCUGGUAGUUCACGCCGUAAACGUUGGGCGCUAGAUGUGGGGACCAUUCCACGGUUUCCGUGUCGCAGCUAAACGCAUUAAGCGCCCCGCCUGGGGAGUACGGCCGCAAGGCUAAAACUCAAAGGAAUUGACGGGGGCCCGCACAAGCGGCGGAGCAUGCGGAUUAAUUCGAUGCAACGCGAAGAACCUUACCAAGGCUUGACAUAAUACGAGAACGGGCCAGAAAUGGUCAACUCUUUGGACACUCGUAAACAGGUGGUGCAUGGUUGUCGUCAGCUCGUGUCGUGAGAUGUUGGGUUAAGUCCCGCAACGAGCGCAACCCUCGUUCUAUGUUGCCAGCACGUAAUGGUGGGAACUCAUAGGAGACUGCCGGGGUCAACUCGGAGGAAGGUGGGGAUGACGUCAAAUCAUCAUGCCCCUUAUGUCUUGGGCUUCACGCAUGCUACAAUGGCCGGUACAAAGGGCUGCAAUACCGUAAGGUGGAGCGAAUCCCAAAAAGCCGGUCUCAGUUCGGAUUGAGGUCUGCAACUCGACCUCAUGAAGUCGGAGUCGCUAGUAAUCGCAGAUCAGCAACGCUGCGGUGAAUACGUUCCCGGGCCUUGUACACACCGCCCGUCAAGUCAUGAAAGUCGGUAACACCCGAAGCCGGUGGCCCAACC